rnacentral:rRNA from 1 species
GACGAACCGUGCGAACGUUGUUCGGAAUCACUGGGCUUAAAGGGCGCGUAGGCGGGCUGUCCAGUCUGGGGUGAAAUCCCGCGGCUCAACCGUGGAACUGCCUUAGAUACUGACGGCCUCGAGGGAGAUAGGGGCAUGCGGAACUGUAGGUGGAGCGGUGAAAUGCGUUGAUAUCUACAGGAACUCCGGUGGCGAAGGCGGCGUGCUGGGACGUUACUGACGCUGAGACGCGAAAGCGUGGGGAGCAAACAGG